GAAGAAUAAACCCUGAGUGUGAAUAUACGUCAAGUCAUCGUGGAUUGUCUUCCUUAUUCUGUACCGCAGUGUUGCUGUUCUGACCUGCUGAAAGUAGGCGGCAAAGCGGUGCAUGUACUGGUCGUAGGGCAGCAUGGCGUGGGUCUCCGUGUGGAAGAAGUUGAUGUACCAGAUGCCCAGCAGGGCCAGCAGCACCGGGGCGUUUUUAUCCAAAGGAGCCGUCCGGAAGUGGUUGUCCUGGAAAGGGCUCUAAUAGUGUACCUUGGAUGCGAUGAUGAAGAGCGUGGUCUCAGCGUCGAGAUGCGCUAGCGUCUUUGCGAUGUGCGUCCCGUCAAUGUUGGACACGAAGCACACUCGCGGCCCAUCCUUGGCGUAGGGCUUCAGGGCCUCGGUCACCAUCAGGGGGCCCUGGGGUCCAAAGGAGAUCAGUGGAUCCGAGUUCCGAGAUCAUCAAGAGGCUUUUAGGCCUUUCCACUGACCGCUACGAACUCUCUACAAGCAAACGUUGGGAAACGUUCACAUUCCGACUGACACCAUGAUGUCACAUGAUGGCAUUUCACUCACGUCACAGAAGUCCUUCAUCUUGUCCAAAACUUUAUUGACCUCCGGCAUCACGUCUUUGCCGUCCACCAUGAUGGGAGUGUUGGAGCGGUUCCUCAGCGCCACGUGAAGCACCGCGCGGCCCUUUAACAUCCAUUAUAUAGCGCCAUUGUUAUGAAAUACAAACAAGACAACAAAUACAGUUGGAAUAUGUGGGAAAAGUCCUAUAGUUAUGAGAAUAAAGUCAAAAUAUUAUUGGAAUAAAGUCAUAAUUACCGUACAAAAAAACUGAUAUUGUAAAAAAAAAAAAACAGCAAAAAUUUAGAAAUAUGAAAAUAAAUUAAAUAAAAUUAUAAUAAAAAUAUACAUAAAUAAUAAACUUGUAAUAUUAUGACAAAAAGUCCUAAAGUUAUGAGAAUACAGUCAAAAUAUUAUUGGAAUAAAGGAAUAAUUACCAGACAAAAAUGUACAAAAAGAAAACUGAAAUUGUAAAAAUAAAAAACAGCAAAAAUUUCAAAAUAUAAAAAUAAAUUCAAUAAAAUGAUAAUAAAUAAUAAAAAUAUAAAUAAAUAAUAAACUUGUAAUAUUAUGACAAAACGUCCCAAGUUAUGAGAAUAAAGUCAAAAUAUUAUUGGAAUAAAGUCAUAAUUACCAGACAAAAAUGUACAAAAAGAAAACUGCAAUUGUAAAA